rnacentral:rRNA from 1 species
GGUGAACGCUAGCGGUGCGCCUAACACAUGCAAGUCGAGCGAGAAAUUUCCUAGCUUGCUAGGAAAUGGAAAGCGGCGAACGGGUGAGUAACACGCUGGUAUCUGCCUUUAGGUCAGGGAUAGCCCACUGAAAAGUGGAUUAAUACCGGAUAGUCUCUUCGGAGUAAAAAUUUAUUGCCUAAAGAGGAACCUGCGGUCUAUCAGCUUGUUGGUAAGGUAACGGCUUACCAAGGCUAUGACGGAUAACUGGUCUGAGAGGAUGAUCAGUCACAAUGGAACUGAGACACGGUCCAU